rnacentral:rRNA from 1 species
ACCAGACUCCUACGGGAGGCAGCAGUGGGGGAUAUUGCACAAUGGGGGGAACCCUGAUGCAGCGACGCCGCGUGGGUGAAGAAGCGCCUCGGCGCGUAAAGCCCUGUCAGCAGGGAAGAAAAUGACGGUACCUGAAGAAGAAGCCCCGGCUAACUACGUGCCAGCAGCCGCGGUAAUGCGUAGGGGGCAAGCGUUAUCCGGAUUUACUGGGUGUAAAGGGGGCGCAGACGGCGAUGCAAGCCAGGAGUGAAAGCCCGGGGCCCAACCCCGGGACUGCUCUUGGAACUGCGUGGCUGGAGUGCAGGAGGGGCAGGCGGAAUUCCUGGUGUAGCGGUGAAAUGCGUAGAUAUCAGGAGGAACACCGGUGGCGAAGGCGGCCUGCUGGACUGCGACUGACGUUGAGGCCCGAAAGCGUGGGGAGCAAACAGGAUUAGAUACCCGGGUAA